rnacentral:lncRNA from 1 species
CAGAGGAGUUCUAGGUUUUAUUUGAAUAAGUAAGUAAAUGCAAUAUGAGGGUUCCAGGCUUUACAAUUUCUUAAGUUACAUAGUCCUCUGUUUUCAGCUUAAUAGAUGGUUAAUACUGUUGCUUUUAAGCUAUGAGAUAGAAUGGUGGGGGGAUGUUCCUAUUGAUUCAGUAUUUCCCCUGAUAACUUUGUAUUACAAUUGCUAUACAGUUUUCCUGUUACCUGUCCUUGGAAUUUCUGCUUUUUUUUUUCCACUCAGAUGUUUCAUACUCAAGAAAUAGUAAAAGCUAUAAACUCCCUUUUCCCCUUUAAACACAUAUCAUUCAUGUAGACACUGCCCCAAUUAUUCUGAUUAGACCCUAAAAUUAAUGAAUUAUGUUGCCAUGCUAGCUCAGUUUA